AAAGCCUCUUUGUAGUAGCUAGUGAAGGAACAAGAAGAAAUUUUUGUGUCACUCAGUUUUAGGUGUUUUUGACUAAUCUGAAUAGCUAAUGGUAGAAAAUGAAAAUGUAUAUAUAAUGUUGCAGAUGUUUCUUAACAAUGGGUAAUGUCGGAAUGCAUAUUAUUUUCAUUGCCAAGCAACCGUGGCCGUCAUUUUACUGAAGCUGUUUAUAUUUACUUUGAUCUGUAGCAACAUGCUGCAAUAUAUGCCUUUCAAAAAGGAAUUACUAAUGCAAAGAAAUCCGUUCUGUUAACAAUUCCAUAUGAUUCCAGUGCGAAGACAGGCAGACACUCUACCUGCUGGACUAUCAGCCAGAAGAACUCGUCUCGGAGGAUUUGAGUACUGCAUCCCGAGAAAGGAAACUUUGAGGACAACAAAGUUAUUUGAGGCUGUUUACAUCCCCCUAGAGAGAAUAGAUUACUGAACAAGCAGAGGUUAAGUGGUUCUCAUUGUUAGUCGGAUUGACAUUUGCUAUUCUGGCGUUUAUGAAGCGACUCUAACGAAAAUACAAAUAAUUGCUGUAUCGCAAGCGUAAAAUGGGCUUUGUUGGUGUUUUUGAAGAAAUUAAGCAGUCCCUCAAUAACUGCACAUGAUGAGACCAUCUGCUGAAAAUUUGUUAGGCUUGACACUAAUUUGUUCCGCAUUUGGAAGAUGCCGCAGUUGAGUUAUGGCAGCGAUUGAUUGCCCAGGGAAACAAGCAAAGGUUGCAUAAGCAGUGAUUGCCAUGACAACAAGCACUGCAACACCCAUGUUUACGAGUAAUUUUCUAUCUUCAUUUAACUCGCUGAGUCCUUGCACUGCUUUCUUGUAUUUCUCCACUGUUAAAAAAUUGUGAUCAGCAUGGCCUUUUGAAUGAAGGGUUUGUUUUUCUUUUAAAUCUCUGUUGUUUUCCGAUGUUUUAGAGGUCUGCGGAUCGCUCCUUAUUUUCUCCUUCACAGUGGUCUCGCCCGCGGGUAAUUCUUUAUUUGUUUCUGAACUGUCAUUCUUUUCCAGCUUCUUUGUUGCAUCAUUGGUUUGCUUUGGUGCUAUGUGUGUUUCUCUUAAUUUGUUGCUUUCUUGAGGAAGUACUUGCCCGACAUUUCUAAAUGGACUACUGCUCCUUGCAUCUCUUGAAUCAUCCGGCUGGCCCUGUGUUGUUCUGAGAUCAGCUGUUUUGUUUACUGCAGGUGGAGAUUCAUCUCGACCCUUUUGAGGAGUGGGCUGUUUUGGAGCUUCGGCUACGGCAGCUUUGGGAGGAUGAACGUCGUGAGUCAUGUCCGCACUUGUCUUCUUGACAGUGAUGGUAAGAAUCCCACCCUGGAACUUGGCACGGACUGAAUUCAUGUCACUGCCUCUAGGAACCUCAUAGUCCUCGAGGAAACGGUUCCAUUUAUUGCCAGCUACCAGACGUUCCCCGCGAACCCUGAUAACAUCCCGGCCCUCUGUCGAGACCCUGAGCUGCUCCUUGGCGAAUCCUAGCAGAAAAAUUUCAGAUUGUUGAUCAGUAGGUACACUUACACCCUUCUGUUACAGCCACUCUGAUGUAGGCUUAAAAUCUUCGAAGACGGGCCAAACUCCGCCACCGGCCGGAGGCGUUGCAGCACCUCCACCACCACCACCGCCUCUCCUGGUUGCCAUGGUAUGUUAUGUGUUCUUC